rnacentral:rRNA from 1 species
CGACAGCUAAUACCGCAUGAUGUCGGGGAGAAUAAAUAUUUCCGACUAAACUUACGGGGUUGAGGGAGGGGGCUGCGGCCCAUCAGGUAGUUGGAGAGGUAAAAGCUCACCAAGCCAAUGACAGGUAGGGGACCUGAGAGGGUGGUCCCCCACACUGGGACUGACAACGGCCCAGACUCCUACGGGAGGCAGCAGUAAGGGAUAUUGCGCAAUGGGCGAAAGCCUGACGCAGCAACGCCGCGUGGAGGAUGAAGGCCUUCGGGUCGUAAACUUCUUUUAGCAGGGACGAGGAAGGACGGUACCUGCGGAAUCAGUCACGGCUAACUACGUGCCAGCAGCCGCGGUAAAACGUAGGUGGCAAGCGUUAUCCGGAUUUACUGGGCGUAAAGGGUGUGCAGGCGGGGUUGCAAGUGGUGUAUGAAAUCUCCCGGCUUAACCGGGAGGGG